GACGAACGCUGGCGGCGUGCUUAACACAUGCAAGUCGAACGGAAAGGCCCUGCUUUUGUGGGGUGCUCGAGUGGCGAACGGGUGAGUAACACGUGAGUAACCUGCCCUUGACUUUGGGAUAACUUCAGGAAACUGGGGCUAAUACCGGAUAGGAGCUCCUGCUGCAUGGUGGGGGUUGGAAAGUUUCGGCGGUGGGGGAUGGACUCGCGGCUUAUCAGCUUGUUGGUGGGGUAGUGGCUUACCAAGGCUUUGACGGGUAGCCGGCCUGAGAGGGUGACCGGCCACAUUGGGACUGAGAUACGGCCCAGACUCCUACGGGAGGCAGCAGUCGGGAAUAUUGCACAAUGGGCGGAAGCCUGAUGCAGCAACGCCGCGUGCGGGAUGACGGCCUUCGUGUUGUAAACCGCUUUCGCCUGUGACGAAGCGUGAGUGACGGUAAUGGGUAAAGAAGCACCGGCUAACUACGUG
rnacentral:rRNA from 1 species